CGGUUGCCUCCUAAAAUGUAACGGAGGCGCCCAAAGGUUCCCUCAGCCUGGUUGGUAAUCAGGUGUCGAGUGCAAGUGCACAAGGGAGCUUGACUGUGAGAGUGGCAGCUCGAGCAGGGACGAAAGUCGGGACUAGUGAUCCGGCGGCUCGUUGUGGAACGGCCGUCGCUCAACGGAUAAAAGGUACCUCGGGGAUAACAGGCUGAUCUUGCCCAAGAGUCCAUAUCGACGGCAUGGUUUGGCACCUCGAUGUCGGCUCGUCGCAUCCUGGGGCUGGAGUAGGUCCCAAGGGUUGGGCUGUUCGCCCAUUAAAGCGGUACGCGAGCUGGGUUCAGAACGUCGUGAGACAGUUCGGUCCCUAUCCUCUGCGCGCGUUGGAAAUUUGAGAAGGUCUGUCCUUAGUACGAGAGGACCGGGACGGACGAACCUCUGGUAUGUCAGUUGUACCGCCAGGUGCAUGGCUGAUUAGCUACGUUCGGGAUGGAUAACCGCUGAAAGCAUCUAAGCGGGAAGCCGGCUUCGAGAUGAGAUUUCCUUGCCCCUUUGAGGGUGUGAGGCCCCCAGCUAGAACACUGGGUUGAUAGGCUGGAUGUGGAAGCGAGGACUGAAGACUCGUGAAGCUGACCAGUACUAAUAGGCCGAUGACUUACACACA
rnacentral:rRNA from 1 species